rnacentral:rRNA from 1 species
UACGAAGGGGGCUAGCGUUGCUCGGAAUCACUGGGCGUAAAGGGCGCGUAGGCGGCCGGCCAAGUCGGGGGUGAAAGCCUGUGGCUCAACCACAGAAUGGCCCUCGAUACUGGACGGCUCGAGACCGGAAGAGGUUGGUGGAAUUGCGAGUGUAGAGGUGAAAUUCGUAGAUAUUCGCAAGAACACCAGUGGCGAAGGCGGCUCACUGGCCCGGUACUGACGCUGAGGUGCGAAAGCGUGGGGAGCAAACAGGG